AAAAUAAAAAUGGUACUGUGUCAUUAAGAAGCUCCUGCUCUUUCCGACACCCCACCUUCUGCACAUCAUCACAACAAGGUUUCUCCAUUAAGCCUUUAGCAACGUUCUUAGGAACGUUGGGCUGAGUAGUUUUAGUAAUAAAAUCAACAAGCUCACAGUUCCACCAGUUGUUUGCUAAUUGCUGCUGCUAGUCUGGAGGAGCCUGGAGACUUCAGCUCCAGGAGGAGCUUUGUGGAAAAGACCUCACUCGGUCUCCCUAAGCGUUUUGCACAUCCGAUUGGCUAUCAUGGGAGAUUUCUGAAACACAUAUGAAUCAGUCAAAGCAACUUUCUGGGUAUGUUUUUAUGACGUAAUAACCUUGUGACAUGAUAAAAAGAUUUAAAAAAAUAUUUGAUUUUGAAUACCUCCCUUUGAAUGUAGCUCCCUUUUCCAAAUUCUGCACAAAAUACUCUAUAAUGAGAAAGUGGAACCGUUUGAAAUUUUGAAAAGUUUACCCAACAAAAACAAAGGAAAACCUACAUUUCCACUGUCUUUACAAAAUACUUUGUUUAAGCUGCUUUGGUAACUUACAAUCUUUGCCACAAAUGUCAAUCAUCUAUCUGUUCUUUCCAGAACUUGUCCAUCAGGUUAGAUGCAGAGCAUUAUCGGAUUGUAAGUUUCAGAUCACCAGAAAUGCUCAUUUGGGUUAAAGUUUUGGGUUCUACCUCAAAACAAUGUUGGAUCUUGUUUGGUUUCCUCCAUACAUGCCAUGAACCUUGGCAUCCAGACCAAAGUGUUCAGUUUCCCAUUCAUCAAACCAGGCAGUUCAGUUUCUCUUUGAAAACCUCCAGAUCAUUCAGUCAUUACCGGGACGGGAGUUUCCGUCUGAUUACUCUGCAAUUCAGGUUUAAUUGGUGAGUUGUCCUUCUUUCCACACAGGAACGUUGAUUCUCUGUCAGGACGACAGAAAACUAGAGGGGAGUUUUUCCACAUGUCCAGCCACCUGAUUGUACCACAGAAUUCAACACAAAACCCUUUGGAAAUAAGUCUGGAACAUAAAAUACAGAAAAGUGAAGUGCUCUGAUUGCUUAAACGUUUUCCGAAGACUGAUUCAAACUUCUGCUCUGCUUCAGAUGCAUGGUGAAUCGUUUCACACCCAGGUGUCCAAUCCUAUUGACUGGUGGAGAGCACGCCUCAGUGCAUCGGCUCCUGGAAGCAGAGCUCUUUAUGUACACACAGGCGUUUAUUGUACACGACUCACAAGUAAGGAACAAGGAGCCCAGAAAACGAAGUUUACAGCAAACAUUUAAAAUUAGCAUUUACGAAGCCUGUGUCUUCAAAGUUCAACAAUUGUUCCUCUGCUACACUUUCCUCCUCUACUUCGAAGAAACUUCUGUUGCCUUACUUAAUUAAUUAUAUGUGUCAACUGUUGCUGCAGAUUAAAGCUUAAAAUACUAAACAUGAUUAAAAAUGUAACUAGUGGAGUUUAAAACGUUAGACGUGGGAGCUUCAAAGCUCAAUGUGAAGCAUUGUCUCCUGUUUCAAAUACCUCUGAUUUGUUCUUAGGCUCAUUUGGCAUUUUAACAAGUCAGUUGAUAAAUUGGCAGGAAAACAUGUCCAUUUUAAGUAAGAGAAAGUAAUGAGCAAUUGUCACGGAAGUAAGUUUUACUGAAGUUUUUAUAUUCUACUUUAUUUGUCUUUCUUCAAAAAAAAGGAUAUAUUUCUGCUUAUGGAUACAGAACAAGUACACAUAUUCUUUAUUUUAAAAAUAAAUAUUCUGUAUUGUUGUU